rnacentral:lncRNA from 1 species
AUUCUGUGUCACAUUUUUAGAAAGAACAUAUUUUGAACUGUAAAAGUAUCACUGAGGAGUGAAUCUUUAAACAGCCUUUAAAAACCCGUCAGCCUGAGGCUCUUGCCUUGGGUACCUACUCAUUUUGUAGUCAAGUUACACUAAUGUCGGUUGAAACAGGCUUCAUUCACUUCAGUUGAUGCUCUGUGGCGUCAAGAACAUCCAAGUUACCUACUCUUAGAUUGCCUGAAUAUUGGGACAAACCCAGGCCUCUUAGCCGCUUGCAUCCCACUUUUUGAAAAUAAAGCAAUAGGUCAGUAGUAAAACCAUGCUUACACAGACCUGAUAAAAUGCCGCUUUAAUUAAAUGUUAUGAAAAGUUGCUGUCUCAUUAAGUUGACUAUCUGAAUUUGGGGGAGCACUGACUGUUUGAUUUUCUAUGUAGAAAACUAAGAUUCUUAGGCUUGCAGAGGUCGAUGCAGAGUGGCUAAGCCAGCAGUGCAUGUGGGUUGUUUGACCCACUCCCUGCUCGGUGCCUCACUUGGAUUACAUCUGUCCUAAGGCGGUGGUGAAAGGACAGUAUAGGAUGGAAACACCUGAUGGUGACUUUAAAACAUGUCCACUGAGAUCCAAGUCAUACCAGGUCCACACCGUUUACAUUUGUCAAAGGAACAACAGGACAGAAAUGGGAAUUCAGAUUUUUCAAUGUAUUUUACCAUCUCUGAGCCUAAUAGCACUUGAGUGCAUUUCUAGAGCUAUUAGAACGUGGACGUAAAAUGUCCCAAAACUAAUCAAGACCUGUGAGGGUUAAAUUACUGCCCUAUCCACUCUACCUCCAUUGUACAAAAAAUAUUUUGCAACAAGCCUGGCAAAAUUCAACCACAUAGUAGUUUUGUAUUUGAGGUUACUUCCCCAUAACACUUUAAGGUAAGCAAUGCAGUGAUAAUAGAAACUUUGUAGCCUUUCCAAUAAAGGUUUAUAAAAUCA